rnacentral:lncRNA from 1 species
AGGGCACCUGCAUUCUGUUCACUUCUUGGCAAGUUGGGUGUCAUCAAUAUCCACCUUCCAACUUGAGGGGGAGUAUUAAAGGAAAGAAAAUCAGUCAAUGAUCUGAGAUUGAGAGAUUGUAGGAUCUGAAUAUAAUUGGCAAUCAGUCAAUAAUCUGAGAUUGAGAGAUUGUAAGAUUCGAAUAUAGUUAGCAAAUAAUUAGUAUGUAUUUACUUAGAAUAGACAUGCUCUGUAUGUAUAAAGCUGCUGUAUCUGUUUGAAGUUAACACAUAUUGAUAAAAUACAUUAAACUUUCUCAUAAAGCUGCCCAUAAUUAAUGCAUUCCCAUUUGCAAAGUCAAUCAGCCGAAAAUGUUUUCCACUUUUGACUUGUUUGAGCCAAUAAUCUACAAAUGCUUCUUAUGAGGAUUCGUUGGUUGUCUAGUUGGUGCUCCACCAUGCUUCGGGGUAGGGUUUGUAUCUUUUAGUUUGUUUUUAUCUAAGAUAGAAGUGAAUCUUAAAUUGUAAAAUUGGUAGGCCAAGUUACCCAAAGAUUUUUUUUUUUUUUUUUUUUUUUUAAACAUUAGUAAGUAGAAGGGAGUCUAAAUGAAAGUGUGAAAAUCACUCCCCUUACUAAAGUUUAGUUAUAAGGUUGGGACCUCGGGAAGUGAAAUAUUACUAGACUAUUUG